rnacentral:rRNA from 1 species
GACAUAUACAGGAAUAUGGCAGAAAUGUCAUAGCCGCAAGGUCUGUAUACAGGUGGUGCAUGGUUGUCGUCAGCUCGUGUCGUGAGAUGUUGGGUUAAGUCCCGCAACGAGCGCAACCCUCGUUCUGUGUUGCCAGCAUUUAGUUGGGGACUCACAGGAGACUGCCGGGGUUAACUCGGAGGAAGGUGGGGAUGACGUCAAAUCAUCAUGCCCCUUAUGUCUUGGGCUGCACGCAUGCUACAAUGGCUGGUACAAACGGCUGCGAUACCGCAAGGUGGAGCGAAUCCGAUAAAGCCAGUCUCAGUUCGGAUUGGGGUCUGCAACUCGACCCCAUGAAGUCGGAGUUGCUAGUGAUCGUAGAUCAGCAACGCUACGGUGAAUACGUUCCCGGGGCUUGUACACACCGCCCGUCACGUCACGAA